rnacentral:lncRNA from 1 species
AUGUUUCCUCUGCAUCAUUUUUCCCCUCCAGGCCUUUGUGUUUUUAACAGCUGGGAUGCGUGCUGCGAUUUCGCCAGAGAUUACCUCAAAAAUCCAGUUACUGUUGGAGAGUGGACGCUCAGAAUCCACAUUGUUUUACAAGACAUGCUUCCUGGUUCAAGUGAGGAGAGCAUGUAUAGAAGCAUGAUGAAAUGGAGCAACACUCAUGUUCCAGAGUCUGAGGCUCUGGAGGACCGGCUGCUGAGUGUGGAGGUCUCCGAGGUGAAUGUGGACCUUCUCAUGAUGAUCAUGGAAGCGGUGGCGUCCAUUGCUGCUUUUGUCAGAUUCUUGCCGCUUGCCAACAGGAUAUGCAUUGAGAUGGCCGAACCUGGUGGAUUAACACAGGUGAUGGAGAGCAAUGUCACCAAGGACUAUUUAUCUUCUUGGAGUAAAGCUGGACGUAUUGAGUCUUUGAAGAGCCUGAAACAGCGUCUGCAAGACUCUGGUGAGAACAAAGUUCACCUCAAAAUGAAAACCAAGAAGACCGCAGAAUCGACAGAUGCAGUGACCAAAGGUGACUGCCAGGCGGAGAGCCAGAGGACCGAGGAGGAAGCAGUGACCCAGCCCGAUGCUGCAGCCGCCCCUGCUGGACGGCAGCCAGAGCCCAAGUGUCCUGAUGACGAGACACAGGAGGGAGAGGAGAAGGAUGGAUGGAGCAUGGCCGACAUUAAAGUUGUGGGAAAACGCAGGAGGGAGCUUGUCGGACCUGAGGCAAAGCGAUCUCGCGCUCAGUCUCCGUGUGUUGUAGCAGAUUUCAGACUGCCUCAGUUCAACCCUAACAGCCCCAUCGGUCAGGAGUUUGUGGUCCCUAAAUCAGGAUUUUUCUGUAACAUCUGCUCUGUUUUCUGCCUGAAUGAGAAGACCGCCAAGGAACUCCACUGCUGCAGCCAGAAACACUACGACAACCUGCAGAAGUAUUAUGAGGAACGUCGACAAAGAGCUACAAAGACUUUGUCUCACACGUCUCCAGGCUCCGUUUCUGACUGAUGGACCUGAUCUACUGGAGAACUGACUGAUGGACCUGAUCUACUGGAGAACAAGCCAUUGUAUUUGAUCCUACUAGUUCAGAA